rnacentral:misc_RNA from 1 species
UUAAUAAUUUAAACUUGUAAACCGACGCAAAGAUGCAGAAUUAAUGAUGGGUCCACCGAGGGGCCCGACGCCGGGGCGUCAGGGUCGCCCUCGAGGCAACACGGUCAUAAUCACAAAGGGUUGGAGGUCGGGCCGGAGGCCCUCACUCAGUAAUGAUCCCUCCGCAGGUUCACCUACGGAGA